AGUUCAUGGCAGUUACGCAGCUUCCUAAAGUCCCUUAAAUGCAUCAUCUGCAGUCUGUCGCAGGUGCAGGUCGUGAUGAAGACGAGCAGAGAACUGAAGUUUGGUCUGAGACAAACUGAAUCAUGAUCAAAGUUAAGAGUCGAAGUGACCCCAGUGUCUCCAGAGGGAAGAAUCACCGACCACUGACCUACCGACGAGCCCGAGGAGGAUGAGAGUCUGUGAGUUCUUCUGAAGGUCGAGGGUUAUCCUGUGUCUGGUGUGUUUAGUGUGGGCUGGAGGUCUCGCUGCCAAUCUCUUCUCCAAUCGAGUGAAUCCAAGAAAACAUGACAAAUUUCUCUGCUUGUCACCGUUGGAGCAUCAGGAGCUGUGUUAAUUAGCAGCCUGUGUACGGAGGCCUCUGAGUGACAAACAAGACAGAAGCGCUCACUCACGCAGAUAUGUGUGGGUAGAUAGGAAGCUGGCACGACGCUGGCGGUUCCGACAUGCCAGACUGAAGGAUGAAUGUCACCAUGGGCGCUAAUGCCAGUUGAGAGAUGCCACUGUAGAUUCCACCCCGAGACAUCUGGAAUCCCAGGUGCCUGUCCCACUGAUCCAGGUCUAAGCUGCAGGAAGCCAAGUGUCCUCGUGGAUGCCAAGAGCCUCGCAACAGCAGCCAAGCUACACUGGAGCUUAUCAGCGCCACCACAACCCUUUAUGGGCCUAUUCACCUCAAUCAAAGCUGUUAUUUAGGUAACGGGCCAAGAUGGCGGAUAUUGCUUCGCUCCAAUUACCCACCAUGUCUCCUCCGCGUUUCUCUGCCAGCUUCCCCACAAGCCCUGAUUCUCCUCCGAGGGCCCAGGUGCUCUGGCGCUGCUCUGCUUCCUCAGUGUCUGUGCAGAGGGAGAGCAUUCAGAACAGAAGAGCUCUGUCAGUGCUAGAUUCACUCACAAGGGCUAUUGAUGACUGCUGUGGUGUUUGUUACAGAGAGUUGUGUCAAUAGUGGGAAAGUGUCUCACAGUGUGAUGUCAACUACAAAUCAACACAUCUGAAAUCAGAUUUUUCUCCCAGAAGGCAUUGAUCAAUAUGAUAGAAGUAUGAAAAUAGAGCUGUGAUGAUCAGUUAAAGAUUCUUAAUGAAUCUGUAUAAUAUUUCAGCCAUCUGCAAUCACAAGUUCCAAACAUGUUUGCACAUUAAUAGAUUAAUAAUUUACAGUCCUAAUGUUAAAUGCACAGUUCUGUACAGACAUUUUACAUUGCUUAUAUUUUGUCUCAAUAAUCACCACACCCUGCACAUUUUGAACUUUUAAUUUAAUGUUUGACAACUUGUUAAAUACUCUGUGCCAAGUGCUUAUUAACAGUUCUUCAAUGGUAAACAUAAUACUAUAUUAUUGGCACAUUAGUGUUGUCAUUGUAAACAUGUGGGCAUGCAGACAUUAGUAUUUAAAGUUAAUUUGAAUUACUAACUUGCUGCAGUUUUAAGCUAUUUGAAUUGCUUUUGUAUAAUUGUGCUUUAGAAUAUGUAAAACUUGAACUUCAUUUUUUUACGACUUUAGUUUUACAUGUUCUUAUACUAUGCAUGUGUAGUAAGUGUAAGCCUAUAUAUGUAUGAAUAUAUUUAUAUUCCAGAAUGACAACUUUAUUUUAGCAUAUUUUUUUUAUCACUACCAAGUUUCUGGGCAAACCUAGAACAUGACAGAAUUUAAAAUCAUAUUUAUAAUGGUCUCAGAAUAAUCUCAUUACACAGGUUGGAAAGGCAAGGAAAACUCAUUUGUAUAUCACCUGCGAAGAUAUAAACUCAACAUCUUUAAACACAACCACGUUCUCCAUCGUCUCUUUGGUUUAGAUACGACCACAAGUUAGAGUUACAUUUAUCUGUAGUUCACAUACCUCAUAUUAAAACUUGGGUAGGGAACAUUUCUGGUUUCAGAAAUGUAUGAACCCAGAAACCUAUGAAAAAUAUAUGAAGAGCAGCAGUUGGAGCGCAGCUUUAGGUGACUGGUGCAGCAGCAGGUAUACGGCAAAGGAGAGAGCUGAGCACUGACAGGCGUCACCGGGGUGAACUGAAUAUAUGUUGCAACGAGGAGAGUGUAUCACAACCACACGUUGUCUGCCUGGUGUGGCUUUCCACAUUGCAUUGUGGGACACCAUGUUUUCCCACAAUACAAUGCACAUGCCUCUCUGUUUGAAAGGGAUUGGAUAGUAAUCAGUAACUAAAUUAACAUUGUACAUCUAAAUUGUGCAUAGCCCACUUCAUAGUAUUGUUGGAAUUGAGACAAGGUAAUUGAGUUAUAUCUGCCUCCAAGUUCUUUCUGAAAUAGUGAAUCUCUUAUCAUCUGAGCAAGAUGAAAAACCUUUUGUUUUAGAAGAUUGGCUGAAAAAG